AAAUUGAAGAGUUUGAUCAUGGCUCAGAUUGAACGCUGGCGGCAGGCCUAACACAUGCAAGUCGAACGGUAACAGAAAGCAGCUUGCUGCUUUGCUGACGAGUGGCGGACGGGUGAGUAAUGUCUGGGAAACUGCCUGAUGGAGGGGGAUAACUACUGGAAACGGUGGCUAAUACCGCAUAACGUCGCAAGACCAAAGAGGGGGACCUUCGGGCCUCUUGCCAUCAGAUGUGCCCAGAUGGGAUUAGCUUGUUGGUGAGGUAACGGCUCACCAAGGCGACGAUCCCUAGCUGGUCUGAGAGGAUGACCAGCCACACUGGAACUGAGACACGGUCCAGACUCCUACGGGAGGCAGCAGUGGGGAAUAUUGCACAAUGGGCGCAAGCCUGAUGCAGCCAUGCCGCGUGUAUGAA
rnacentral:rRNA from 1 species